rnacentral:siRNA from 1 species
AGAUUAGGUUGUCAACGUCUCUGC